AUUGAACGCUGGCGGCAUGCCUUACACAUGCAAGUCGAACGGCAUCGCGGGAAAGCUUGCUUUCCUGGCGGCGAGUGGCGAACGGGUGAGUAACACAUCGGAACGUACCGGCUAGUGGGGGAUAACCCGUCGAAAGACGGGCUAAUACCGCAUACGCUCUUCGGAGGAAAGCAGGGGACCUUUGGGCCUUGCGCUAGCCGAGCGGCCGAUGUCCGAUUAGCUAGUUGGUGGGGUAAAGGCCUACCAAGGCGACGAUCGGUAGCGGGUCUGAGAGGACGAUCCGCCACACUGGGACUGAGACACGGCCCAG
rnacentral:rRNA from 1 species